CAGAGUUGAUAGAGUUUUCGGGUCACCUACACGCCGAACACUUGCCGCUACUGCCACGAGGCCUGAAGCGGCUGUGGUUGGCUGUACCCGGGGAGGAAGAGGCGGCUGUGCUCCUGUCUGAACUUCAACAUGUGCGCGUCUACUGCCCUCACCUCGUAUGGCUGUGGAUCCACGUCCCGGUGUCGUCAGUGACCGCUUCUUCCCCCUCACCGCUGCCUGAUCUUCGCCAUGGUGUGUUUCUCCUUCUGUCUGGCGUGACCGAUGGAGAGGUUGAGGCAGCCUGUCGCAUUGCAGCAGCCAUGUGUCCCAGGGAGACAGGGUAUAGGCGUAUUCGUUUCCCCGGUGCCUCGCUGGACUUCGGUGGAUACAGGCGGCUGCUGGAGGGACUGAGGGCAGCUGGCGUGAAGGUGGACGGGUAUGUUCUUGUGCCAGACACCGACGCCAUCACUGAGGCUGAAGGGAAGGAGCUGGGCACCCUCGCUAAGUCCUUGCUGGGGUGUAGGUUUUUCAGGCGGCCCGAGGAUUGGGUGUGGACCUAUCCUAUCAUUACUCCCCGGUGAGGUGGUGUCUGGUGCGUGGUCGGCCUGGAGGGGCUUCCAUCCGGGUCCUGCUCCUACAGACAGAUCGUCACGCCGGAAUGUUUUUGAAAUUAUUAUUGGCUGAAGGGGUAUCCUGUGCCCAAAAAGAACAACAAAAAUAACAACAACAAUCAUCAUAAUGCUGAAAUAAGGAUAAUAUUGUAGAUGUUGAUAUUAUU